rnacentral:rRNA from 1 species
GACAGAGGGUGCAAACGUUGUUCGGAAUUACUGGGCGUAAAGCGUGUGUAGGCGGCUUUGCAAGUCGGAUGUGAAAGCCCCGGGCUCAACCCGGGAAGUGCACUCGAUACUGCAGAGCUUGAGUGUCGGAGAGGUUGGUGGAAUUCUCGGUGUAGAGGUGAAAUUCGUAGAUAUCGAGAGGAACACCGGCGGCGAAGGCGGCCAACUGGACGAACACUGACGCUGAGACACGAAAGCCAGGGUAGCGAACGGG